GGGGGGGGGGGGGGGGGGGGGGGGGGGGGGGGGGGGGGGGGGGGGGGGGGGGGGGGGGGGGGGGGAGUCACCCAUAUCCGUGUCAGAAAUCACAGGGAAUCCACGGCACCCGUGUCAGGGAUCCAGGGACUCACCCAUAUCCGUGUCAGAAAUUACAGGGAAUCCACAGCACCCACGUCAGGGAUCCCAUGGAAUCACCCAUACCCGUGUCAGGGAUCCCAUGGAGUCACCCAUAUCCAUGUCAGGGGGGGGGGGGGGGGGGGGGGGGGGGGGGGGGGGGGGGGGGGGGGGGGGGGGGGGGGGGGGGGGGGGGGAUCCCAUGGAGUCACCCAUACUCAGAGAUCCCAGGGAGUCACCCAUAUCCAUGCCAGGGAUCCAUGGAGUCACCCAUAUCCAUGUCAGAGAUCCAGGGAGUCACCCACAUCCAUCUCAGAGAUCCCAGGGAGUCACCCAUAUCCAUGCCAGUAUCCCAUGGAGUCACCCAUAUCCACGUCAGAGAUAAGCCAGACCCACCCCUGCUGCAGCAGUGAGCAUUUGGUGUGAGCAGAGCUCCCCCAGUGCAUGGAGCUGACCCUUCCAUCCAUGGCCCUUGGUGCUGUGCUGGGACUUUCCACCUCCAUCCCCACUAUCCCCAUGGGAAGGCUGAGGGUUCCAUGCCAGCUUUAAAGCACCCGCGUCAGGGAUCCAUGGAGUCACCCAUAUCCAUGCCAGGGAUCCAUGGAGUCACCCAUAUCCAUGUCAGAGAUCCAGGGAGUCACCCAUAUCCAUCUCAGAGAUCCCAGGGAGUCACCCAUAUCCACGUCAGAGAUCCAGGGAGUCACCCAUAUCCGUGUCAGAGAUCCCAGGGAGUCAUCCAUAUCCAUGUCAGAAAUCACAGGGAAUACACGGCACCCAUAUCAGGGAUUCCAGGGAGUCACCCAUAUCCAUGUCAGAGAUCCCAGAAGCUUUUUUUCUGCAUUCAAGGAGUGAAAAAAUUCCUUCAGGGAUCCAUGGAGUCACCCAUAUCCAUGUCAGAGAUCCAGGGAGUCACCCACAUCCAUCUCAGAGAUCCCAGGGAGUCACCCAUAUCCAUGCCAGGGAUCCAUGGAGUCACCCAUAUCCACGUCAGAGAUCCAGGGAGUCACCCAUAUCCGUGUCAGAGAUCCCAGGGAGUCAUCCAUAUCCAUGUCAGAGAUUCCAUAGAGUCACCCAUAUCCACAUCAGAGAUCCCAGGGAGUCACCCAUAUCCAUGUCAGAAAUCACAGGGAAUCCACGGCACCCGCAUCAGAGAUCCCAGGGAGUCACUGACCUCCAUGUCAAAGAUCCCGGGAAUCAACGGCACCCACGUCAGCAAUCCCACAGUCACCCAAUCAGAGAUCCCAGGGAGUCACUGACCUCCAUGUCAAAGAUCCCGGGAAUCAAUGGCACCCACGUCAGCAAUCCCACAGUCACCCACACCCAUACCAGAGAUCCCACAGUCACCCACAUCCACAUCAGUGAUUCCAGGGAAUCAAUGGCACCCGUGCAGAGAUCCCACAGAGUCACCCCAUAUCCGUGUCAGAAAUCGCAGGAGUUGUCGAUCUCCACGUCAGCAAUCCCACAGGGUCACCCACAUCCACACCAGAAAGUCUAGGGAACCACUGACCCUCCAAGUCAGUGAUCCCAUGGAGUCACCCACACCCACGUCAGGGAUCCCAGGGAAUCACCCACAUCCGUGUCAGAAAUCCCAGGAAUUAUCGAUCCCCGCAUCAGAGAUCCUGCAGAGUCACCCACUAAGUCACUGACUAAGCCAGAUCUCUUUAACAGCUAACAUGUGCAAGGUUUUGCUAAUUAGCUAUGCUAAUUUAUGAUAAGAAUGAUAAAGACUGGCCAAGAAAUUUCAAAAUGAAAAAAAAAAAAAGAAAAAAAUCGUGAUGAUUAUAAGGACCAGUUGAGGAACAGGCAAGAUAAAGGUGCUGGAACCAGCACAGAACAUCCACGAGACCCCAUCCCCCAAACCAAACAGGGCACAAAUUAGGGAAGAAAAAUGCUAAUGAUCUAAUGAAGGCAGAGCUUUCCACAAGCAAGAGCUCAUAUGCCCAGAUCACCAUCUGCAGCCUCUCCAUCUUUUUCCAUUUUCCAGUUCCACAUGAACCCCAGCACAGCCUAUGAGCAUCAGCCUUUUUCUCAGGCAAAACAGCACAAAAAUCAAACAAAAAAAAUGUUUUUCCCCGUCACGCUGAACUUCACUUGACAUUACCUCCUGGAGAGAAUAAAAAGGGGAAAUUGAGAGCAAAUGUCGCUGCUAAAUGAUUUUAGAAAAACCAAAACAACACAUUUUGAGUGCAGCAUUAGAGCAGACUGCAUGUCAGAACAAAGCAGUGGUUCCCUCUGAGCCCCUCAAGUCUAAACUGCCUGCCCAACUUUGGCUAAAUCUGAAAGAGUGCUAAAAAACACAAGGCCAAGUUUUUUUAUUAAAAUAAAUUGUGAGAAGAAGCAGCUAUUUCAUGGAAGUGUCCUUAUCAGAGCAUUUCCAAGGAAGAAUCAGCAGCCAGGCUCCAGCACCAAAGAUCUGCUGCCUAAAGAAUUGAAAUCUCUCAGGGUUUUCUUCCCCUCACUUAAAGCUUACCCUGUUUCCUUGCUAAUGCGGCUUGCUGAAGGACAAACUGGCAAGGGUUCUACUUUGGCAAAGCUGCCUCCAAACUUCUUGGAGCUCCAUUUCAAGUUUUACUGAGGGUAGGUUGUCGUUCUGCUCGUUUGGACCAGGCAGCAGAACCUGUGUUCCCAUCACUGCUGCUCAAGCAUUUCCACCUGGGGCAGGAAUUCACCUGAGAGCACUUGUCCUGCUGGGACACAACCUCCCAGCAAACACACGGGAAACUUCCAAAGUUCACACCAGCUGGAAGAGGUUUUAUCUUAAUUAAAGGACACAAGUGGGAGAAAAAUAUACUGCUAAAUCCCUCAAAAGCCUAAAUCCACGCUAAAAUCAGAUAUUUAAUUUUUGUCCUUCAGCUGGCAGCCAAGUUGCCUGAUGGGGAGCUCUUAAUGACUUUUAGUCCUGGGUUACACAACUAAAAGUACACAUUUUGGAGGAGAGCAGACUUCAGCAGCAAUGACCCCUUCACACCCCCAGUGAGGCAGAGCCACCAGAACUGUCCUUCCUUCCAGUGCAGGGGAGAGAAUCACUUUUAGAGUGAUUCUGGGCAUUUUCACCUGGCAAUUUCUAAAUUAGCAGCUCUUGCAAGACACACCAACAUCCUUGUUCCCUCCUGAGCUCAUCUUGGGGAAAACACUAUUCCUUGCAAUGCUAUUUUUUUUAAUUUCAGUUUUUAAUUGUUUCAGAGCAGUAGGCUGUGACAUUUAGGGACACAGCUCUGCAGCUCUCUCACCAAAAAAAAAGACUAAACACAAGUUACUGCUGGUGUCAGCUCAGCUGGACUGACAGCCAAGCAUCUACACCUGCAGUUAAUAAAUAAAUCUGGCUUUCAGUGCCCUACCCCAGAUGUUUUGGGCAGGCAGAUGUGGUUAACAGAGGCAUGAGCAACAUCUGUGGGGGAGACAGGAGUGUGAAAACAGAAAGAGCCUGAAGUUACAUCAGGAGUAGCUUGAGAAGUACUGUUAAAGUAGCAGGUCUGUCCUGAACCUGCAGCUCCCUCAGACUCCAGCAGAAGCAGCACAGCAAUCCAGACUCCUCUGAAAAAACCAGACAAAUCAGGGGGCUCAGGACUAAGAGAGCCCAACAUACACCACCAUAAACCACAGGCAAAAAGGCAGAAUAGUCAUCACAGGAUCUGGCUUUACUUACUGAAAGGCACAGUUCCAAGGCUAGGGGUUUUAACCCCAAAUUUACCAUGGGAAACUUCAUUUGAUGAAAUUCAAAAAAGGAACAGAUGCUGCUCAUGUGCAGCUGAGCUCUGUACACCACAGGGGUGCCAGCAGGGAUUUAGAGGACACCAGACAGCUCCUGCAGGGAAGGAUGGGGUGUAGGGAGCCAGCACCUCUUCCUGCUGGGGGCUGAACAGCCUCUAAUGAAAGCUCUUUUUCCCCUCAGUACAGGGAGAACCAGAGCUCCUUGUCUUCUGGUCUAUUCUCACAAAAACCUGGAGAACUUGCAGGUUUUGAGACUCCUGUGGAAGGCGUUCUGACACCUGUCCCAGGCAGCCCAGGCACUGGGCAGAGGCACCAUGAGCAAGACUAAAAACAGGACUAAAAACUUGUGCACACGAGAGAAGGAAGCGUCUAUUCAGCUAAUUCAAAGCACAGAUCACCCUGAACGCCACAGACCCGAGACGCGGCACCAAGGGCCCACCUGAGCCGUGUGGUCACCCCACCUGUGCUGCCACACCGAGGGUCAGCCUCCUUCAGCCAUGGUAACACUGGGGGACAAAAAUCUUCCGUCACUGCUGCUCUUCUGGUGUCAAAACCAAAUAAUUCCGAGCUCUCCAGGGAGCUGAGGCAGGAGAACUGGAACCAGGCUUGGGCUACCAGCCAAGGACACCACAAAUCCUGUUCCUCACCGACCUGCCCCGUGCUUUAAACUGCGUGUGCAGGCUCCUAACAACCCACUUGUGCGGAAUCAGGGGAUUUUUCAGCUUUUCGCACACCCACAUGCUUGCAGGUUGGUCAUUAAUGUGAUUUAGAAACCACAUUUCUAUACAGACCAGUCCCAUCCUGGAGCACUGGGAAGGGGCAGCAGCUCCUCUGUCCGAGCCCUCAGCCCUGAGCUUUCACCCACACUAGGAACUCAGGACAAGCCUAAACCAGGAGCCUUGAUCUCACACUUUCAAGCCAGCACAGGUUUUACAAGAGUUUAAUUGUUUCCCUGUGGUAUUAAAAUUCAGCAGGUCUAAGAAUGCUCACUCGUAUUUCCAAAUAUAACAGGAAAGCAGCUCCCUCAAACCCAGGCCAUCCCCAAUACCGAGACAAGAGCCCCCCAAAUAUUUUAUCAGGGGAAUUUUAACAGACACGAGUCUCGUGCUGGGACCCGGUCCCUGCAGAACCUGCUCCCAGUCGUGCAGGAGGAGCCGUGAGCUCCACAUCCCAUCCCCACUGGCACGGAGAACUGGAACCCCCAGGAGCAGCCCCGGCCAGGAAAAACGUGCCAGAAAACUUGAUCAAGGACGAACCGAGCACUCAAAAACCCUUCAGAGCUUCUUGCAAACUAGAUAAAGAGCCGAGAACGAGGGAGGAGAGGAACACCAGGAGCAGAGGUUGAGAACACGGCCAAGGAACAGCGUGUCAGAAAACUUACACAGGGACCGAGCGAGCACUCAAACCCGAGCACAGUCACAGUUUUGAUAAACUAGAUAAAGAAACCAGAGCAAGCGUUUAUGCCGCUACAGCAGCGGCUCGGGGCUCGGCUGAGGAGCUGCAUUAUCAGAAAGAGCUGCGAGUUCCCAAAGCACACGGGUCGCUCCGAGCCCCAUGUGCCACACGGACACGUGCGCGCCGUGUCGCUGUCGCCGCAGCGGGACACGGGGCCAGGGCUGGCGGGGAGCGCCGCCCGUGCCGCCCCACGAACCGAACCGAACCGAACGGAACCGGCCCCGGCUGGCAGCGGGCACAGGCCGGGCAGCGCGCCGCACACAGGGGAAUUAAUCAGUUAAUUAAUGAAUUAGCGCUGCGGCUGCGGCGCGGGCGGUCCCCGUUUUCCCCCGGUGCCGUUCCCCUCCCGGGCCGCGGGGCCGGGGGGGGGGGGGGGGGGGGGGGGGGGGGGGGGGGGGGGGGGGGGGGGGGGGGGGGGGGGGGGGGGGGGGGGGGGGGGGGGGGGGGGGGGG
ensembl:lncRNA